rnacentral:rRNA from 1 species
GACGAACGCUGGCGGCGUGCCUAAUACAUGCAGGUCGAACGGUCUUUUCUAUGGAAGCUUGCUUCCACUGAGAAGACAGUGGCGAACGGGUGAGUAACACGUGGGUAACCUGCCCAUAAGAGGGGGAUAACAUCCGGAAACGGGUGCUAAUACCGCAUAGUUUUCUUGAUCGCAUGAUCGGGAAAGGAAAGACGGCCUUUGUGCUGUCGCUUAUGGAUGGACCCGCGGCGUAUUAGUUAGUUGGUGAGGUAAUGGCUCACCAAGACGCAUGAUACGUAGCCGACCUGAGAGGGUGAUCGGCCACAUUGGGACUGAGACACGGCCCAAACUCCUACGGGAGGCAGCAGUAGGGAAUCUUCCGCAAUGGACGAAAGUCUGACGGAGCAACGCCGCGUGAGUGAAGAAGGUUUUCGGAUCGUAAAACUCUGUUGUCAGAGGAGAACAAGUUGGAGAGUAACUGCUCCAGCCUUGACGGUAUCUGACCAGAAAGCCACGGCUAACUACGUGCCAGCCGCCGCGGUAAGAC